CAAUGGAAACACAAAUGUGAUUUAUAAAUAAUCAAAAUACAUUUCUAUAAGAUACAUGAUGUAACCAGAACAUAUGAAUAUCCCGCCGCAUUAGAUUUUCUUGCCAGGGCAAGUGGGUAUUGGAUAAUAUUUCGGAUGCUCAUGGCAUUCGCAUCUAUGGUGGUGACAAACUGGUAUACGGUGAUAACAUAGAGUCUGGCAAUCACAGACGUCGUAACAAAAAUUUUUUGGUGGAAAUGGUGGUGCUGCUACUUCUGCUUGUACAGAAAUAGUGGAUAUGAGAAUGAGGGACAAAAUUGUAAGUGUGAAUGUGAUCUGCUUCAUGUUUGAUCUGACUUGUAUGAGUGUAAAAUGAUAUGAUUUUUUACUUGUG
rnacentral:lncRNA from 1 species